AUUGAACGCUGGCGGCAGGCCUAACACAUACAAGUCGAGCGGAUGAAGGGAGCUUGCUCCUGGAUUCAGCGGCGGACGGGUGAGUAAUGCCUAGGAAUCUGCCUGGUAGUGGGGGAUAACGUCCGGAAACGGGCGCUAAUACCGCAUACGUCCUGAGGGAGAAAGUGGGGGAUCUUCGGACCUCGCGCUAUCAGAUGAGCCUAGGUCGGAUUAGCUAGUUGGUGGGGUAAAGGCCUACCAAGGCGACGAUCCGUAACUGGUCUGAGAGGAUGAUCAGUCACACUGGAACGGAGACACGGUCCAGACUCCUACGGGAGGCAGCAGUGGGAAAUAUUGGACAAUGGGCGAAAGCCUGAUCCAGCCAUGCGGCGUGUGUGAAGAAGGUCUUCGGAUUGUAAAGCACUUUAAGUUGGGAGGAAGGGCAGUAAGUUAAUACCUUGCUGUUUUGACGUUACCAACAGAAUAAGCACCGGCUAACUUCGUG
rnacentral:rRNA from 1 species